rnacentral:lncRNA from 1 species
GUUUUACUCGUAAGUGUGCUCUGACAUUUUUGUAAUGCGGAAAAGAAAACGAAGUUCAUUCCAUUCCCAAGCAGUGAUUAAUUGAUUGAUUGAUAUGAUAUGAUUUGAUUGAUUGAUUGACAUUAGACACGUACCGGGCAGAAGCACUGCCCUUACACUUACACUUUCGCUUCUGGCCCUCACGGAGCAACUAGGAAAAGCCAUCGCCAAGUAAGUACAAAAAUGAGCAAAACAAACCCAUAAAAAGGGUUAUGGAACCCGACUGCUGAUAGGGUUGCCAGCUGCUUUUAAGCAGCAACUGUACUUUCCCGAGCUGAUUUUGCUUUUAUUUAUAUAUUUCGAUAUAGUCUUUUGGCGACUGGCCUUUCCGCCCUGUUUGGCCUGUUGGCUUUCGGUAAACACACCGACUGGCAGCUAACUGCCUGUUGUAUUCCACUCUUCAACAAACCAUUCCCGAAAUCAGAGAGUAAGUAAAAUAAAGUUAAACAAAAGUCAGUGGUUUUUAUAAAUUAAUUUUAAUUUAGAUUGAAACACACACAAAAACAAGAAUUCCGGCGAUGGAAGAAAACACGAGUCCAAGGAUAUCUAGCAAUUGCAGCAAUAUCUGGCACACACUUACCUCUGUAUGUUUAAACAUUGCCACAAGUUAACAAUUUAAUAUAAUUGUUGAAGACACGUAAGACCCAUAGGGGUCAGCACAGCCAAUCCUACCAGAUCCUUGGCAUACAAGACCAAGGAUAUCUCAGCAAUUGCAGCGAAUAUUUAUUACACAACUCGUUAUGUUUAAUCAUUUACACAACUUAACAAUUUAUUUAAUUCUUAAAAGACAAGACCCCAAGAGCACUGGGUCAAUGCUCUUUUCGGCGGUUGAAAGCAUUGACGAGCACAGCUCACACAAGUGCACAAUUGUUCAAUAUGUUCAAUAACAAUU